GAUCAUGGCUCGGGAUGAACGCUGGCGGCGUGCUUAACACAUGCAAGUCGAGCGAAGCACUUAAGUUUGAUUCUUCGGAUGAAGACUUUUGUGACUGAGCGGCGGACGGGUGAGUAACACGUAGGUAACCUGCCCAUGUGCCCGGGAUAACUUCUGGAAACGGAUGCUAAAACCGGAUAGGUAGCAGACAAGCAUUUGACUGCUAUUAAAGUGGCUAUGGCCAUGAACAUGGA
rnacentral:rRNA from 1 species